GAUGAACGCUGGCGGCGUGCCUAAUACAUGCAAGUCGAGCGAAUGGAUUAAGAGCUUGCUCUUAUGAAGUUAGCGGCGGACGGGUGAGUAACACGUGGGUAACCUGCCCAUAAGACUGGGAUAACUCCGGGAAACCGGGGCUAAUACCGGAUAACAUUUUGAACCGCAUGGUUCGAAAUUGAAAGGCGGCUUCGGCUGUCACUUAUGGAUGGACCAGCGUCGCAUUAGCUAGUUGGUGAGGUAACGGCUCACCAAGGCAACGAUGCGUAGCCGACCUGAGAGGGUGAUCGACCACACUGGGACUGAGACACGGCCCAGACUCCUACGGGAGGCAGCAGUAGGGAAUCUUCCGCAAUGGACGAAAGUCUGACGGAGCAACGCCGCGUGAGUGUUGAAGGCUUUCGGGUCGUAAAACUCUGUUGUUAGGGAAGAACAAGUGCUAGUUGAAUAAGCUGGCACCUUGACGGUACCUAACCAGAAAGCCACGGCUAACUACGUGCCAGCAGCCGCAGUAA
rnacentral:rRNA from 1 species